AGAUCGGUAGCACAGUGGAUAGUGCAGUCUGUCGAAAACAGAAAGACGCGGGUUCAAUUUCCGUCCGAUGUC
rnacentral:tRNA from 1 species